GGCUGAUCAGGUAAGGUGGCCUACAUGAGGUCACAUGUGAAUACUGAGCAAGGAUUGCUUUCAGUGUGCUGCACUUGGUUCUGGCACAGGCAGUAUUAACCAAAAGUCAGUCAUUGGCUGCGAAAGCCAACACACUGUUACAUUCACUAUGCUGCAUGGACCAGUGAAAACCAUGGCUUUAUACUGUGUAAGCAAGGCUCCAAACGUCAAGUCCUACAAUUCUAGCCAGGCCUAAAAAUUAUUUGCCUCUACAAGCAUGAAGGGUCCAUGGCACAUUCAUCAUGGGUGAAUUU